UACACAGACUGUUUCUUGGCAGGGUAAAGUCCGUUUGAUGUCCGGUCCAACUGAUUGGCACAUUUGCGUUCUCAUAUGCAGCUCCUCCUUGUAAUGUCUAGCUAAUUUCU